GUAUAAAUUAAAACCUAUAACAUAAUGAUUCUCGACAUUGGGGGAUAAAAAUGAGGUCCUUUCCUCGCUUGAUUGAUCAUUGUGCUGAUAUAGCGAUCCGGAUUUUCAACUUGAAUUCAAAUUUUCCUGUCGAGGAAACUGACUAUACAAGUGAAAAAAAGAAAUGAGGUCAUUCACGAACAACAGCAGACCGACGAGAAGAAGUAAAGAAAGAAAGAAAGAGACCAAAGGUCUCCAGUUAUAAAUCCCCCUUUUUGAUGAUAAAAUUUUCAACACGACUGCGCAAAUUACGCACCACCCCGUCUCCGACCUUCCGGACGAAUCGAGCCCGAUGGAGAGCAACAAACCAUGAGCGCCCUAAUUUUUUACGAGUUAGAAAGUUUCUCUUCCUCGUUCGGUGCGUUCGUUGUUGUCAACCCAUAUAGACACACACACACGCGGCACACACAAAUAUGGUCAUCGACCAGCAGCAACCAACUGCUUCUGGGGUGUGUGUGUGUGUGUUUUAAUUGAAUAUCUUAUUUUUUAAUUCAUUUUUGAGGGUAUUAGUAUCAUCAAUGAUUAAUUGAAAAUCUAAAUGAAUUAGACAUGUCAAUUUCUCUUUUCUUUGUAAACGAAAAAAAUUUCAUUUUUUGUUUUAUUUCGAAAAAAAAAAUUACAAUGUGUUAUACAAAUAUAAAUCGAUAAUAACUCGUUUUCGGGGGAGUGUGGGUGGGUUUUUUUGGGGGGGGGGGGACGGAGAAAUACAGCACCGAUCUUAUUAGAGCACGGAUGAAAAUAGAAUUGUUUUUUCGAGGAAGAGAGAGAGAUAGAGAGAGAGAGAAAAUAGAGUGUGGAUUAUACAAUGGGUCACAUACACUGAAAA